rnacentral:ribozyme from 13 species
UUUUUUUUUUUUUUUUUUUUUUUUUUUUUUUUUUUUUUUUUCCGCUUAGGGUACACCUUGUUGGCGUGAC